ACAGACGGGCCCUAAUGUGUGCACAGCAGAGUUUGAUUUCCUACCUCUCCAUUCUUUGACGAAAAAUUUUAAACUUUCUUUUGCUUCUCAACAGAAUGUGGUCUCCUUGGGCCCACAAAAACCAGCACCCAGCAGGAGAACCCCUGUUGGGGCCUGACAAAGGCAGGGUGAAGUGAUUAUACUUUCAUCACUUUCAGCAACACCUCCUGAGAAAAGCCUUCUCUGACUGCCUUAUCUGAGUGAAGUCUGAUGAGAUAAUGAAGCACAUACGUGAGCAGAGUAGAAACACAUGUUCCUUCUAUUGCAUGAUCAUCCCUCUGACAUAUCCUAGAUGCAUGAAAAGUGAAAUGUGUCAGGAGUAUAAACUUCAUGGGCACUGUUGUCAUGGGAGUUGGUGAAACUGGAGAGGCCCAAGCUAGAGUGUGAAGGCUUUUACAUGAAGAGAUGAAGAAAUUGAGGCCUGGGGAGUGGUUAUAUAUCCUGCUCAAAGUCUCAGCUAAGAAUGGAGGAGCCAGAAGUUCAAACUCUAUCCAUGAUUCAUUUGUGAAUAAUUUAACAACAAUAGAGAUGAUUUAAAGCUAGUUCUUUAAGAAGAGCAUUUGAAAGUAGAAGAGUGAUUACCAGAGGUUGAUGAAUGGGGGGAGCGAGGAGUGGAACUCCUGAUCAAAGGCUUCAAGCUUCUGGUUAUAAGAUGAAUAUUCUGCUGAAGACCUAAUGUAUAUGAGGAUGACUAUAAUGUUAAUGUUAUUGUGGUAAUAUGUGUGUAUCAAAUUACCACUUUGGAUACUUUAAACAAACAUUUUUAUAUAAAUCUCGAAAAAUAAAUUCAUCAUUAUCAUCAUCAUCAUAUAUUGUAUAAUUGAAAAUUUCUAAAUAAAUCUCAAUUCUCACCACACACACAAAGUAACCAAGUUAGGUGAUGGAUAUGUUAAUUAGUUUGAUUGUGGUAAUCAUUUCACAAUGUAUUACAUAUAUCAAUAAGAACUUAAGUAUAUACAAGUUUAUUCUUUUUAUUUCCCUGAAUAUGUUAUUCUGUUCUAAUUUCUCCAUAAAUUUUCUUUUUACAUUUUCAGUAAUAAAAUAUAUUUAUCCAUGACAAUAUUAUACACAUAAAAAGAAGAGCAUUUUCACUUUCAUUCAAGCAUGCUUACUUGAGCAGGGGCUUAAGCUAGAAAUUACACAAACCCAGUGGGAUUAUUCACUCUGAAAAUGUAAUUUUCAUGGAAAAUUCUUUAUCCAUGAGUUUUAUGAAAUAAAGUCAAAGAGGCUUUGGUCUAGAGAACAACAGAAUAUUUUUAUUAUAGACAGUGUUUCUAUCAUGGAAGUCUCUUUAAUCAGUGAAGAAAUCUGGUCAUCCUUAAUUGAUGUCAUUCAGUCUCCAGUACCAAAAAUGAGAACUUAAUACUUCAAAAGGAGCAUUCAAGAGCAUUACCGCUAUUCAGAGGGUGGUAUCUAUAGGCCCUGUUUUUAGGUUUGUUCUUGAGGCAAUAGAUUCUACCUGCCUGCACAAAAAUGUGUUUCCUUACCCUAUUCCCAUUCCCAGACCCCAUUCUUCAGGCUCUCUGGUCUGGACUGAUAUUUGCAUCUUGAAUUAUCACCUGCUACAUCUCUGAAACAGUUACAGUCACCAUAUCCUAGGCUCUCCUCCUACAGUAUCCUGGGACUGAUACAGAUCCCAGGGGUCUUCUAGCCCAGCAUUGCUUAAAAAGCUUCAAGGCUUUCCUGUUCCCACCAGCUCCACCCUUCCAUCCUCAAUCAUCUCAUCAAGUCAUUGGGCAAAUCAGAAAAAAAAAGCUUCCCAUGCAUGAAAUGUUGGUGAGAUGCAAGAUAAAUCCUGUAGUUCCAAAGUAAAAUACUUUAAAAUAGCUGAGCAAUGCCAUGGGCUCCAGGAGCUAACCAAAGACUUCGACUGAUACAGUUGAAGAGACAUGCAACAAACAAAGAGAUAAUGCACAGAGUGUCUUCCUUCUCAUGGAUUGUCAGUGCACUCCUGUGGGGCAACUUAACAUUUUAUCCACACACAGACAGUAGGUAAUCCAGAGAAAAAGAGAGACAACUGCGCACAAUGCGAUCUGCUGAAUUAAAGUCUCAUUCCCAUAUGUCAGAAAUCAACUUGUCUGCUUCAAGCAUUUAUCCAAUAGGAAUCUGCAUCCGAUGUAUUAAAAUGUAAUUUAAACUUAAUUACUUUGUGAGCAGUGUUCAAUAAAUCUUAUCCAAGUCUUUCCAUAGUGAAAUCUCUGUAGCCAGAUGUUGAUUGUGUACACAUUGUUUUGUGUUGCUUGCAUAAACAUUAUAAUCACAUAUAGACAACAGCAGAGCUACAAUAUUUAGAAAACAUUUUUCACACCUCCUUAUUAAGCAAGACUAUGAAAAUUAUGACUCAUCACUGCACCAUUGUUUUUGCCUGUUUUCUUGUGCUGGUUGAACAGUCAUAGGCAGCUGGUAUUAAUACAAUAGGUAGUGCUUAGGGAAUUAAUGGGUGAUGUAUAAUACACCACAAAGGUAUCUGUCAUGCAGAACAAUAGAUGCAAUGAUAUAAGAUGUAUGUAUUUGAAAAUUGUUCUCAAAUGUGAGUUUUUCAGCAUAAAGACAUACCUUGACUGUGCUGCAAAAUUAGUUUUUAACAAUUGUAAGAAGUCUGCCAAAAAAAAAAAUCUGCUUUUAUUUUAUUUGUGAUCCUGAGAGCAUUUAAGCUACUAGGAGCAGGCAUAUACGUGCUCCUUUUCUCUCUGCUCCUAUCAAAACAACACUAGAGCGCUUAUGCUCCAGGGAGAUUUGUAUAGAAUCUGACGCUUGUAUCAGCUCUGAAAAAAACAACAAAAUUACAGUCUGAGGUGAUGCAAAUGAUAUCCUUGGUGCA